rnacentral:misc_RNA from 1 species
AAGAGAAAACUGCCCUUUGGGUAGAUCUCCCACCCUUUGUUUAUACUACCAUUGUUGCUUUGGCAGGCCCGUCUUCUGACCACCGGCUUUGGCUGGUCCGUGCCUGCCAGAGGACCACAAACUCUUGAUUUCAAGUUGUCCGAGUCCUAUAUAAUAGUUA